CCUACGGGAGGCAGCAGUGGGGAAUAUUGCACAAUGGGGGAAACCCUGAUGCAGCGACGCCGCGUGAAGGAUGAAGUAUUUCGGUAUGUAAACUUCUAUCAGCAGGGAAGAAAAUGACGGUACCUGACUAAGAAGCCCCGGCUAACUACGUGCCAGCAGCCGCGGUAAUACGUAGGGGGCAAGCGUUAUCCGGAUUUACUGGGUGGAAAGGGAGCGUAGACGGUAUGGCAAGUCAGAUGUGAAAACCUGGGGCUCAACCCCGGGACUGCAUUGGAAACUGCCGAACUAGAGUGUCGGAGAGGCAAGUGGAAUUCCUAGUGUAGCGGUGAAAUGCGUAGAUAUUAGGAGGAACACCAGUGGCGAAGGCGGCUUGCUGGACGAUGACUGACGUUGAGGCUCGAAAGCGUGGGGAGCAAACAGGAUUAGAUACCCGGGUAGUC
rnacentral:rRNA from 1 species